rnacentral:rRNA from 1 species
AAGAUUGAUACCGCAUAAGAUUGUAGUAUCGCAUGAUAUAGCAAUUAAAGGAGCAAUUCGCUAUAAGAUGGACCCGCGUCGCAUUAGCUAGUUGGUGAGGUAAUGGCUCACCAAGGCGACGAUGCGUAGCCGACCUGAGAGGGUGAUCGGCCACAUUGGGACUGAGACACGGCCCAGACUCCUACGGGAGGCAGCAUG